ACUGGAAAAAAGAAAAAUUAAUUCCGACUGAACAAAAAAAAAGGAGAGGCAGAAGAUAGUUUGUUUGUUUGUUUGUUUGUUUGUUUGUUUGUUCGUUCAUUCUUUGUUGCUGUGCUUUG
rnacentral:ribozyme from 14 species